rnacentral:lncRNA from 1 species
CAAAAAAAUAUUACUGUUCAGUAGGCCCACUGGCCAGUUACAUAAAGGCACAGAAUCACCCUUUCACCUAUAGCAGUUUAUGAGCUACAAAGCAAAAACUAAAGCUUGCUGAUUGUUACAACCUACCCCAUGCAGUUGUAAUAUUAAGUGGGGAAAGUUGUAACAAACCUAUACAAAGACAGAAGGCUCAAAAAAGUGGUCUCUCACAAAGAUCUUUAUUAAAAAAAAAUUGCAAAGGAAACAUUAAUGACAAAAACACAAAUAUUAAGGACUCAGUGCUUUGGAUUAAAGCUUAUCAAUAAUUUAGUCCUAUAUACCGUCACUCAUCUCACUCUUGCAGUUCUGGCAAAUAAAUGUAGCAUCUACAGAUAUUGCGACAGAACAUCCAAUCGUAAAGGGAUUGGAUGUUCUAUCGCAGUUAAAAAAAUUUUUAAAAAUAUUCGUACUGGCUUGUUGUAUUCUAUUCUAUUUAUGUAUUAUGUGUAUGCCUGAAGAUGAUGUGUAGACAUCGAAAGCAC